rnacentral:lncRNA from 1 species
GUAAAUGUUAAUUGGAAUGUGUCAGGUAACAUCUUAUUGGAAAGAAGACAUUUCAGAAAAAUAUUGGGGCCUGAAAUUUCCUUUUAGAAAAUCUCUAGUUUUUUGAAUAAAUAGGAUGAAGAGAAGCAUUGUAGGGCAAUUAUGUUGCAUAAGAAAAAGGGGUGCCAUUUACAUGGAUUGCAAAUGGUGUCCACUGGAUUUGCACAAAAGGGCAGCCUUCACUGAAUUUGGAGAAACACUGACAAUCUUCUAGACUCAGGCAUAUGAUGAUUCUGGUUUGUUUGCUUUUCUGAGCAACUGAGUGGAUGAUGGUACCAUUUAGAGAGAUACAAAAUAUUAGGGAAGGAAUGACAUUUGGGGCAGGGCAGUAACCAAGAGUUUUCUAUGGGGAGGUCAAGUUUGAGAAGUUGAGGAUGCCAUUGGAUACACUAGGUUAAAGCUAAGGGGAAAGGUUGAAGCUAGAGGUAAAUUUGGGGAGUUAUCAGUGCAUACAGAAUCCUUAAUGCCAUGGGAUUGAAUGAGAUGUUUCAGAAAGGGAGACUGGAGGAAGAAGAGAAGAGGGCCUAGAAUUGGGCCCAAGUGUCCUCUAACAUCUAGAAGUCAGGAAAAGGAAGAGAGCCAGCAAAGAGAUUGAAAUGAGCAACUACGAUUUAAUACCUAGACAAGUGCUUUAAGGAAAGUCCUGUGCUGGGCCAUGUGCUGUGGAUCGGCACUGAAGUCCUACUGAUUCUUUCCCCUGUGGAUUUUGUAAUAUGUCCUCUUCCCCGCAAAACUGAUGACUGUUUCUGGAAGGAUCCCUUUGCAUCUCAAUUAAGUUUCUCACAAUCCAUGCUUAUUGCUAUUACCAGAGUGGGUUAUCCCUCUAAAAGUGUAAAUACUAUCAGUCACAUACUAGCUUAAAACUAGGCAAUGGCUUUCCAUUUCCCAUAGAAUUUAUUCUAAAUCCUUAAUUUAUUAUGAGGCCCUUUUUCACCUGAAAUUUUGCUCCCCACUGCCGCAGUCUGGCUGGGCACAAAUGCCGCAGUCUGGCUGGGCACACAAUCACGAGCCACCACACAGCUUGUAGAUUCAAACAGCAACUCUUUAUUCCCGACCUCACACCAGCCGUCUACAAUCACGUUCUGGGGAAAUCCACGUUCUCUUCCCAAAUCCCCCUCCACUGGGCUUCUAUCUCCAAAAUAUACUGUCUGAAUCCCGUG